rnacentral:rRNA from 1 species
GACGAACGCUGGCGGCGCGCUUAACACAUGCAAGUCGAACGGAAAGGCCUGCUUUCCCUUGUGGAUUGCGGGUACUCGAGUGGCGAACGGGUGAGUAACACGUGAGUGAUCUGCCCCCAACUUGGGUAUAAGCCUGGGAAACUGGGUCUAAUUCCCGAUAGGACUGCAGGGUGGUGCCUGUGGUGGAAAACGAUUUUCUAGUGGUUGGGGAUGAGCUCGCGGCCUAUCAGCUUGUUGGUGGGGUAAUGGCCUACCAAGGCGGCGACGGGUAGCCGGCCUGAGAGGGUGGACGGCGACAGUGGGACUGAGAUACGGCCCAGACUCCUACGGGAGGCAGCAGUGGGGAAGAUUGCAAAAUGGGCGGAAGCCUGAUGCAGCGACGCAGCGUGGGGGAUGACGGCCUUCGGGUGGUAAACUCCUUUCGACCGCGAGGAAGCCACCUGGUUGGAAGGGUGGUGACGGUAGUGGUAGAAGAAGCACCGGCUAACUACGUG